AUGACUGGAUCCAACGCAAAUUCGCUGAUCAGCCGCCGUCACACAAACGUCGCCUUCAGAUUGCAAUCCACCUUUAACAACCGCGGAAUCGCGAUUCCGUUCCUCCAUCGUGCAAUACCUUUGUGCACAACCCGUCGCCUCCAAACGGCAACCACACACGUUUGCCAUCACCAAGCCCGACAACCGCCAAGCUCCAUCGAAGAUCUCAGGUACUCAUCAUUUUUUUCUUUUAUCUAUUUUUGUUGGUCUUGA